UUUCCUACGGGGGGCUGCAGUGGGGAAUUUUGGACAAUGGGCGCAAGCCUGAUCCAGCCAUGCCGCGUGCAGGAUGAAGGCCUUCGGGUUGUAAACUGCUUUUGUACGGAACGAAAAGACUCUGGUUAAUACCUGGGGUCCAUGACGGUACCGUAAGAAUAAGCACCGGCUAACUACGUGCCAGCAGCCGCGGUAAUACGUAGGGUGCGAGCGUUAAUCGGAAUUACUGGGCGUAAAGCGUGCGCAGGCGGUUAUGUAAGACAGAUGUGAAAUCCCCGGGCUCAACCUGGGAACUGCAGUUGUGACUGCAUAGCUAGAGUACGGCAGAGGGGGAUGGAAUUCCGCGUGUAGCAGUGAAAUGCGUAGAUAUGCGGAGGAACACCGAUGGCGAAGGCAAUCCCCUGGGCCUGUACUGACGCUCAUGCACGAAAGCGUGGGGAGCAAACAGGAUUAGAUACCCCGGUAGUCAG
rnacentral:rRNA from 1 species